GGGAAUGUGGCUUAGUGGUAGAGUUCUUGCCUAGCAUGCAUGAAGCCCUGGGUUUGAUUCCUCAGCACCA
rnacentral:tRNA from 1 species